rnacentral:rRNA from 1 species
AAUGGGCGCAAGCCUGAUCCAGCCAUGCCGCGUGAGUGAAGAAGGCCUUCGGGUUGUAAAGCUCUUUCGGCGGGGAAGAAAUGGCGCUUUCUAAUACAGGGCGUUGAUGACGGUACCCGCAUAAGAAGCACCGGCUAACUACGUGCCAGCAGCCGCGGUAAUACGUAGGGUGCGAGCGUUAAUCGGAAUUACUGGGCGUAAAGCGUGCGCAGGCGGUUGUGUAAGUCAGAUGUGAAAUCCCCGGGCUCAACCUGGGAACUGCAUUUGAGACUGCACGGCUAGAGUGUGACAGAGGGGGGUAGAAUUCCACGUGUAGCAGUGAAAUGCGUAGAGAUGUGGAGGAAUACCGAUGGCGAAGGCAGCCCCCUGGGUUACUACUGACGCUCAUGCACGAAAGCGUGGGGAGCAAA